rnacentral:rRNA from 1 species
CUACGGGGCGCUCCAGUGGGGAAUAUUGCACAAUGGGCGCAAGCCUGAUGCAGCAACGCCGCGUGAGGGAUGAAGGCCUUCGGGUUGUAAACCUCUUUUAGCAGGGAAGAAGCGAAAGUGACGGUACCUGCAGAAAAAGCACCGGCUAACUACGUGCCAGCAGCCGCGGUAAUACGUAGGGUGCAAGCGUUGUCCGGAAUUAUUGGGCGUAAAGAGCUCGUAGGCGGUUUGUCACGUCUGCUGUGAAAAUCCAAGGCUCAACCUUGGACUUGCAGUGGGUACGGGCAGGCUAGAGUGCGGUAGGGGAGAUGGGAAUUCCUGGUGUAGCGGUGGAAUGCGCAGAUAUCAGGAGGAACACCAAUGGCGAAGGCACAUCUCUGGGCCGUAACUGACGCUGAGGAGCGAAAGCGUGGGGAGCGAACAGGAUUAGAUACCCCCGUAGUC